UGGAGGUAGAGGCCGGGACAAACGUAAGCCUGAUCUGCAGCAGCCAUGCAAACCCCCCAGUGGAGAAUUAUACCUGGUUUAGAGUAGAUGCCAACUUUAGUAUUGAUGUUAGAAACAAGCCUGUAUUUUUUCCUGAUGAUGGUGGCCAGUAUGUAUGCCGUGCCACCAACAAACACGGCAGCCAAAACUCCUCUGUUGUGAUUUUAAAGCUAAAAGCAUAUUGGACAACCCUCCCCAGAGAUGUAAUUAUCAUUACUGCUAUUGCUGUACUUCUAAUUGUGAUUGCUCUUAUCGCCAUCAGCAGAUUCCACAAAGCAAGAACCUGCACACCAACGUCAGACUGUGAGGAGAAAAUACAGGAUUGUAUGCAGAACACAGACUAUGUCAACUGGCUCAGCUGUGACAGUUACCAAACACAAGAGGGACAUCAGAGUGAGGGAGGAGCAGAAAUCAUCUAUACGACGGUAUACUUCCAUCACAGAAACAGGGAGCAGCAGAUGGACUUCCAUACUAAAUAAGAUUUAUGAACAUCACAGUGUCCAGGAACCAACUGUUGAUCCCUUCACAUAUCAAGCCUCCAUACUUUGGUUUUCGAAAUGUGAAGAUACAAUGUGUUGAGGGUAAUUGGUUUAUGAGUUUGUUUGGAAAUAUGUGAAAUAAAUAUGUAUCUACCACAAAAAAG